AAUAGAUACCCCGGUAGUCCACGCCGUAAACGAUGAGUGCUAAGUGUUAGAGGGUUUCCGCCCUUUAGUGCUGCAGCUAACGCAUUAAGCACUCCGCCUAGGGAGUACGGUCGCAAGACUGAAACUCAAAGGAAUUGACGGGGGCCCGCACAAGCGGUGGAGCAUGUGGUUUAAUUCGAAGCAACGCGAAGAACCUUACCAGGUCUUGACAUCCUCUGACAACUCUAGAGAUAGAGCGUUCCCCUUCGGGGGACAGAGUGACAGGUGGUGCAUGGUUGUCGUCAGCUCGUGUCGUGAGAUGUUGGGUUAAGUCCCGCAACGAGCGCAACCCUUGAUCUUAGUUGCCAGCAUUUAGUUGGGCACUCUAAGGUGACUGCCGGUGACAAACCGGAGGAAGGUGGGGAUGACGUCAAAUCAUCAUGCCCCUUAUGACCUGGGCUACACACGUGCUACAAUGGAUGGUACAAAGGGCUGCAAGACCGCGAGGUCAAGCCAAUCCCAUAAAACCAUUCUCAGUUCGGA
rnacentral:rRNA from 1 species